rnacentral:rRNA from 1 species
GACGAACGCUGGCGGCGUGCUUAACACAUGCAAGUCGAACGGAAAGGCCCUGCUUUUGUGGGGUGCUCGAGUGGCGAACGGGUGAGUAACACGUGAGUAACCUGCCCUUGACCUUGGGAUAACUUCAGGAAACUGGGGCUAAUACCGCAUAGGAGCUCCUGCUGCAUGGUGGGGGUUGGAUAGUUUCGGCGGUUGGUGAUGGACUCGCGGCUUAUCAGCUUGUUGGUGGGGUAGUGGCUUACCAAGGCUUUGACGGGUAGCCGGCCUGAGCGGGUGACCGGCCACAUUGGGACUGAGAUACGGCACAGACUCCUACGGGAGGCAGCAGUGGGGAAUAGUGCACAAUGGGCGGAAGCCUGAUGCAGCAACGCCGCGUGCGGGAUGACGGCCUUCGGGUUGUAAACCGCUUUCGCCUGUGACGAAGCGUGAGUGACGGUAAUGGGUAAAGAAGCACCGGCUAACUACGUG